CCCUUAGAUGUUCUGGGCAGCACGCGCGCUACAAUGGUCUUCGCAAACGGAUGCAUUCUCGAAGGAGAAUGCCAAUCUUGGAAUCUAUGCCUUGGUCGGGACAGUUGCUUGCAAUUUUUCGACUCGAACCAGGAAUUCCUUGUAAUCGUGAUUCAUCACAUCACGAUGAAUACGUCCCUGCCCUUUGUACACACCGCCCGUCGCUCCUACCGAUCGAAGAGUUAGGUGAAUUGUUUUGAUCGAUAAGAUUUGACUAUGGUCAACUCUCGUUGUGAAAUUCUGUGAAUCUGACUAUCUAGAGGAAGUAAAAGUCGUAACA
rnacentral:rRNA from 1 species